rnacentral:rRNA from 1 species
UACGUAGGUGGCAAGCGUUUGUCCGGAUUUACUGGGCGUAAAGAGCGCGCAGGCGGUUGGAUAAGUCGAAUGUGAAAGCCCCCGGCUCAACUGGGGAGGGUCAUUCGAUACUGUCCGACUCGAAGGCAGGAGAGGGAAGCGGAAUUCCCGGUGUAGUGGUGAAAUGCGUAGAUAUCGGGAGGAACACCAGUGGCGAAGGCGGCUUUCUGGCCUGUUCUUGACGCUGAGGCGCGAAAGCCAGGGGAGCAAAACGGGG